GAUGAACGCUGGCGGCGUGCCUAAUACAUGCAAGUCGAGCGAACAGACGAGGAGCUUGCUCCUCUGACGUUAGCGGCGGACGGGUGAGUAACACGUGGAUAACCUACCUAUAAGACUGGGAUAACUUCGGGAAACCGGAGCUAAUACCGGAUAAUAUAUUGAACCGCAUGGUUCAAUAGUGAAAUACGGUUUUGCUGUCACUUAUAGAUGGAUCCGCGCCGCAUUAGCUAGUUGGUAAGGUAACGGCUUACCAAGGCGACGAUGCGUAGCCGACCUGAGCGGGUGACCGGCCACGCUGGAACUCAGACACGCUCCAGACUCCUACGGGAGGCAGCAGUAGGGAAUCUUCCGCAAUGGGCGAAAGCUUGGCGGAGCAACGCCGCGUGAGUGAUGGAGGUUUUCCGAUCGUAACACUCUGUUAUUAGGGAAGAACAAAUGUGUACGUAACUAUGCACGUCUUGACGGUACCUACUCAGAAAGCCACGGCUAACUACGUG
rnacentral:rRNA from 1 species